UAAGGUUUGACCUUGAAAUUGUGCCUCAAGU
rnacentral:piRNA from 1 species